rnacentral:rRNA from 1 species
CCUACGGGAGGCAGCAGUGGGGAAUUUUGGACAAUGGGCGAAAGCCUGAUCCAGCAAUGCCGCGUGAGUGAAGAAGGCCUUCGGGUUGUAAAGCUCUUUUGUCAGGGAAGAAACGGUGGGAGCUAAUAUCUCUUGCUAAUGACGGUACCUGAAGAAUAAGCACCGGCUAACUACGUGCCAGCAGCCGCGGUAAUACGUAGGGUGCAAGCGUUAAUCGGAAUUACUGGGCGUAAAGCGUGCGCAGGCGGUUUUGUAAGUCUGAUGUGAAAUCCCCGGGCUCAACCUGGGAAUUGCAUUGGAGACUGCAAGGCUAGAAUCUGGCAGAGGGGGGUAGAAUUCCACGUGUAGCAGUGAAAUGCGUAGAUAUGUGGAGGAACACCGAUGGCGAAGGCAGCCCCCUGGGUCAAGAUUGACGCUCAUGCACGAAAGCGUGGGGAGCAAACAGGAUUAGAUACCCUGGUAGUCCACGCCCUAAACGAUGUCUACUAGUUGUCGGGUCUUAAUUGACUUGGUAACGCAGCUAACGCGUGAAGUAGACCGCCUGGGGAGUACGGUGCAAGAUUAAAACUCAAAGGAAUUGACGGCUGAGACGNGCGAGACGACGACGAGGGAGGAGG